rnacentral:rRNA from 1 species
UACUCCUACGGGAGGCAGCAGUGGGGAAUAUUGCACAAUGGGCGCAAGCCUGAUGCAGCGACGCCGCGUGCGGGAUGGAGGCCUUCGGGUUGUAAACCGCUUUUGUUCAAGGGCAAGGCAGGCUUUCGGGCCUGUUGAGUGGAUUGUUCGAAUAAGCACCGGCUAACUACGUGCCAGCAGCCGCGGUAAU